UGCAAGUCGAACGCGUUGGCCCAAUUGAUUGAUGGUGCUUGCACCUGAUUGAUUUUGGUCGCCAACGAGUGGCGGACGGGUGAGUAACACGUAGGUAACCUGCCCAGAAGCGGGGGACAACAUUUGGAAACAGAUGCUAAUACCGCAUAACAACGUUGUUCGCAUGAACAACGCUUAAAAGAUGGCUUCUCGCUAUCACUUCUGGAUGGACCUGCGGUGCAUUAGCUUGUUGGUGGGGUAACGGCCUACCAAGGCGAUGAUGCAUAGCCGAGUUGAGAGACUGAUCGGCCACAAUGGGACUGAGACACGGCCCAUACUCCUACGGGAGGCAGCAGUAGGGAAUCUUCCACAAUGGGCGCAAGCCUGAUGGAGCAACACCGCGUGAGUGAAGAAGGGUUUCGGCUCGUAAAGCUCUGUUGUUAAAGAAGAACACGUAUGAGAKUAACUGUUCAUACGUUGACGGUAUUUAACCAGAAAGUCACGGCUAACUACGUGCCAGCAGCCGCGGUAAUACGUAGGUGGCAAGCGUUAUCCGGAUUUAUUGGGCGUAAAGAGAGUGCAGGCGGUUUUCUAAGUCUGAUGUGAAAGCCUUCGGCUUAACCGGAGAAGUGCAUCGGAAACUGGAUAACUUGAGUGCAGAAGAGGGUAGUGGAACUCCAUGUGUAGCGGUGGAAUGCGUAGAUAUAUGGAAGAACACCAGUGGCGAAGGCGGCUACCUGGUCUGCAACUGACGCUGAGACUCGAAAGCAUGGGUAGCGAACAGGAUUAGAUACCCUGGUAGUCCAUGCCGU
rnacentral:rRNA from 2 species